CUCUCAAAUAUAAACAUUAAAAAAAUUUAUUCAAUUUGGUGGGUGAGGGAAGGGGUCUUAAAAAAUAUAAUAAAAGCCUCCAAAUACAAAGUUUGGCAUAGGACUCAGAGGGUUCCUGCCAGUGAGGCUCUGCUAUUGUGUCAUCGCCUUCAGGUAAAAUCUAUCACAAUUGCCCUGUUCCUCCUUCUGGGCAGGACCAUGCUGGGGCAUCAUCCCCUCUGGGCCCCAUUUCCUCCAUGCCCCCAGUACUGGCCCAACGUAAUCACAAGGAUCCUUAGAAACAGAAGAGGGAGGCAGAAGGGCAGGAGAGUCCGAGAGGGCGGCAGGAGAAGGAAUCAGCCACACAUUGCUGGCUUUGAAUAUUCUGAGGGGUAUGAACUAAGGAAUGCAGAGUCUUCUAGCUACAAAAAGCCAAGGCAACGGAAUCUCCCCUAGAGUCUCCAGGAAGGAACACGGUGCUGCUGACACCUUGGCUUUAGACCAGUGAGCCCACAUCCGACUUCUGACCUACAGAACUAUAAGAUAAUAAAUUUGUGUUGUUUCACACCA